rnacentral:rRNA from 1 species
AGAGUUUGAUCAUGGCUCAGAAUCAACGCUGGCGGCGUGCCUAACACAUGCAAGUCGAGCGAGAAAAGGGGGGCAACUCCCUGAGUACAGCGGCGCACGGGUGAGUAACACGUGGGUAAUCUGCCCUGAAGUGGGGAAUAACACCGGGAAACCGGUGCUAAUACCGCAUACGAUCACGGAGUCUGCGGAUUUUGUGAUGAAAGGAGCAAUUCGCUUUAGGAGGAGCCCGCGGCUGAUUAGCUAGUUGGUGAGGUAAUGGCUCACCAAGGCUGCGAUCAGUAUCCGGUCUGAGAGGACGGUCGGACACACUGGAACUGAGACACGGUCCAGACUCCUACGGGAGGCAGCAGUGGGGAAUUUUUCGCAAUGGGGGCAACCCUGACGAAGCAACGCCGCGUGGGUGAUGAAGUCUCUUGGGACGUAAAACCCUUUCGACGGGGAAGAAACCGCAAGGUUGACGGUACCCGUAGAAGAAGCCCCGGCUAACUCCGUGCCAGCAGCCGCGGUAAUACGGGGGGGGCAAGCGUUGUUCGGAAUUACUGGGCGUAAAGGGUGCGUAGGCGGUUCGUUAAGUUGGAUGUGAAAACUCUGGGCUCAACCCAGAGCCUGCAUCCAAAACUAGCGAGCUAGAGUUCUGGAGGGGAUAGCGGAAUUCCUGGUGUAGCGGUGAAAUGCGUAGAUAUCAGGAGGAACACCGGUGGCGAAGGCGGCUAUCUGGACAGAGUCUGACGCUGAGGCACGAAAGCUAGGGGAGCAAACAGGAUUAGAUACCCUGGUAGUCCUAGCCCUAAACGAUGGAUACUUGGUGUGACUGGGAUUGAAUCCAGUCGUGCCGAAGCUAACGCAUUAAGUAUCCCGCCUGGGGAGUACGGUCGCAAGGCUGAAACUCAAGGAAUUGACGGGGGCCCGCACAAGCGGUGGAGUAUGUGGUUUAAUUCGACGCAACGCGAAGAACCUUACCUGGGCUCGAACGGCUGGUGACAGGUGGCGAAAGU